rnacentral:rRNA from 1 species
AUGAGCUGGCGGCGGCUACACAUGCCAGUCGGUNGAAGGAAACGACAUUAUUGAUUGCUNUCGGAGGAUUAAUGGGCGUCGAGCGGCGGACGGGUGAGUAAUGCCUAGGAAAUUGCCUUGAUGUGGGGGAUAACCAUUGGAAACGAUGGCUAAUACCGCAUAAUGCCUACGGGCCAAAGAGGGGGANCUUCGGNCCUCUCGCGUCAAGAUAUGCCUAGGUGGGAUUAGCUAGUUGGUGAGGUAAUGGCUCACCAAGGCGACGAUCCCUAGCUGGUCUGAGAGGAUGAUCAGCCACACUGGAACUGAGACACGGUCCAGACUCCUACGGGAGGCAGCAGUGGGGAAUAUUGCACAAUGGGCGAAAGCCUGAUGCAGCCAUGCCGCGUGUAUGAAGAAGGCCUUCGGGUUGUAAAGUACUUUCAGAUUGUGAGGAAGGGUGUGUAGUUCAUAGCUGCACAUCUUGACGUUAGCAACAGAAGAAGCACCGGCUAACUCCGUGCCAGCAGCCGCGGUAAUACGGAGGGUGCGAGCGUUAAUCGGAAUUACUGGGCGUAAAAGCGCAUGCAGGUGGUUCAUUCAGUCAGGAUGUGAAAAAGCCCGGGGGCUCAAACCCUCCGGAAACCUGCAUUNGAAACUUGGGUCGAAACUUAGAAAGUUGCUGGUCAGAGGGGGG